UCCCCGUGCACUGUGCUGAGAAGAGC
rnacentral:piRNA from 1 species